rnacentral:piRNA from 1 species
UUGGAUGGUAGUUUAGUCCCUGGGAACUC